rnacentral:rRNA from 1 species
AAAAGUACUUUGAAAAGAGAGUGCAAGAGAACGUGAAACCGGUGUAAUGGAAACGAAUGGAGUCGACGUAUCUGUUGGGUAUUCAGCCGGUUGCGGGCCGCAAUUGAGGUGUGUGUGUUCUCGCAAGAUGCGCCGCGCUUUAUUGGUUGCGGUCGUGGUCGGUUCAUUUGCCCGAAGAGUGCGCCGAGUUGUGUGGUUUUGCCGAAUGAAGCGCGUUUAGAGGGCCGCGUCCUUGUGGCGCGGUAGCCUGUGCGUGUCGAGUUUGGUUGAGGCUGCGCAGCUUUGUGGAAGACGUGGGUUUUUCGCGUGCAGUCGUGCCGAUCGUUCAUGCUUGCGUGUUGCACAUGUGUAGCGCGUUUGUGUGGGCGGUGGGCGCGGUUGUGUGCACUACGCUCUUCUCGGCGUGCAGUUGAUCACUCAUUCGACCCGUCUUGAAACACGGACCAAGGAGUUUAUGGUAUGCGCGAGUUAUUGAGUUUGAACGAAGCUCAAAGGCACAAUGAAAGUGAGACUGUAUUGUAUUCAACGUGAGUGGGUGCGGCAUUCGUGCGGCCCAAGCAACGUUGCCCCGUUUCGAGGACUUGUCCUGUUGCGGAGGUUGGGCGUAUGCUAUGAGACCCGAAAGAUGGUGAACUAUGCCUGAACAGGACGAAGCCAGAGGAAACUCUGGUGGAAGUCCGAAGCGGUUCUGACGUGCAAAUCGAUCGUCUGAUUUUGGUAUAGGGGCGCAAGACUAAUCGAACCAUCUGGUAGCUGGUUUCUUCCGAAGUUUCCCUCAGGAUAGCUGGUGCACAUGAUUAACAGAUAUACUCGGUAAAGCGAACGAUUAGAGUUCUUGGGAUGUAUUAUUCUCAGACUAUUCUCAUACUCUAAAUGGUUAUGUUGUUGUCGUUUCUUAAUUGAACGUCGACUUUGAUUGUUGUGCUCCAAGUGGGCCAUUUUUGGUAAGCAGAACUGGCGAUGUGGGAUGAACCAAACGCGGAGUUACGGUGCCUAACUAUUCGCUCAUGAGACCCCAUGAAAGGUGUUGGUUGAUAUAGACAGCAGGACGGUGGCCAUGGAAGUCGGAAUCCGCUAAGGAGUGUGUAACAACUCACCUGCCGAAUCAACUAGCCCUGAAAAUGGAUGGCGCUUGAGCGAAUGACCUAUACUCUGCCGUUGUUGAAACUCGAAAGAAAUCUCUCAACGAGUAGGAAGUACGUUGUGAUGGCGUUGAAUUGUGGGCGUGAGCUCGAAUGGAGCCUUAUGAGUGCAA